CAAUAGCGUAUAUUAACGUUGUUGCAGUUAAAAAGCUCGUAGUUGGAUUUCUGGAGGGAGCGUCGGCCCGUAUUUACGAGUGCGUGACGUCUCUGUCCAUCCUUGCGGGAAGGCACGGCAUUGAUUUGUUGUGUCGGAUCGCAUCAUUUACUGUGAAAAAAUUAGAGUGUUCAAAGCAGGCUUUCGCUUGAAUACAUUAGCAUGGAAUAAUAAGAUAGGACUUUGGUGCUAUUUUGUUGGUUGAGCCUAAAGUAAUGAUUAAUAGGGAUAGUUGGGGGCACCUGUAUUGCGUUGUCAGAGGUGAAAUUCUUGGAUUUACGAAAGACAAACAGCUGCGAAANCGNNNGCCAAGGAUGUUUUCAUNAG
rnacentral:rRNA from 1 species